rnacentral:lncRNA from 1 species
GGAGGGAUAAUGGAAUAGGGAGUUUCUGGGGUGAAAUCAGGAAAGGGCUAUUAUUUGAAAUGUAAAUAAAGAUAAUAUCGAAUAAUAAAUAAAUUGAAUUAAAAUAAAAAUAUUCACAAAAUACUACAUAUAAAUAAGUCAUUAAGAUGUCAUAUAGUAUAUUAAUCAAUAUUAUCUAAUAUAUAAAUUAUGUUAAUACGAUAUAGUUUUAAACAAAUUACAUAUCCAAAAAUGUACCUUCAAAAUUUCCCAGUAUAUUUUAUACUGGAGAUCUGUGAAGUAAUUAAAGGUUAAAAAGUAAGGAUGCUGGGGAUACUGUUUGAUUGCUCAGCUUUUGUCCUACAAGCAGGACGAUGAGAGUUUGACCCACAACAUUACACCCUCCAAGAAAACCAUUCAAAUUAAGGAUUAAUCUAAUAGAAAUAUUGUUUAUAGUAUAUAUCAUAUUUCAAUUAUUAAUAUACAUUACUUGCUAUACAAUCAAUUAAACUUUUCUGGAAUUACUUACACUAAGAAGGAAAUAGUAAGUUUGAAUAUAUUACCGUGUAUCUCCAACUACUUCUUCAGGAUUUGCAUUCCCAUCAUCAUGAGUUACUGGAUUCUGUACUGGGUUCGUAAUAAAACAAGAUAUUAAAACAAUUAUGUUAUUUUGAAAAUUUUAAUGAAAUACUUUGUGAUCAUUCAGGCAUAGUGCCAACAUUAGGUUUUAAAGCAGAUCUAUUAUUUGCUUAGAAGUUAAACAAAAUCAAGUAAUGUCUAAUUGUCAUCUAAAAAUAUGUUUUAAGCUAUUUAUUUAUAUGUUGUGAUUAAAGACAAGAGAUACAAUAUGAGAUUUUUGAUCUCCUUUACAAGCCUAAGAAGAACAACUGAGAAAAAAAGGAAGUGUAACAUCAAUGCCCAUCAUUAAAUAUCUGGUACCUUCCAUAAGGUCCAAUUCUGAAGCAUUCCUAACUUGCUGAUCACCACUUAACAAAUUCCAGUUUUCCAUUGGUGUCUCUACAGAACGUGCAAAACGCUGCCAUUCCUCUGAGAAACUUACGUUUUCUGAUUUAAAAUAAAAAAAGCAAUUUUCUCAAGCCAUUUGAAUAAAAAAUCACAUAAACUAAUAAAAUUGAAAUAUAAAAUAACAUUAAGGAAUGAUUUUUACAAAAACAGCACUUCAUAAUUGCAUGAAGGGUUUAAAGAUAAAACCAUAUUUCUAUUACCCUCUGAUUUAAUACUAAAGACUUUAGUAUUUAAACAUGGAACACAAUAGUUGGCUUCAAAGAUAGCCAUUAAUAACCUUAACUUUAAUAUGUACACAUUUUUAAAAAGAAUUAUUUAAGUUGAAUAAAGUAUCUUGGUCUUCUUUACUAUAAAAGAAUAGAGGUUUGUUAUUUUUUAGUUUAAAACUCUCUCUCUCUCUCUCUCUCUCUUUCUCUCUUACACACACACACACACAGACACACACACUAUGAUGGCUUUAACUGUGACUUCAAGUGGGUUUAUAUCUAAACAUAGGAGGAUCUUCAUGUUGGUCCCAUUCCUGCAAGGUUUUUGAUAAGUUAGAGCAAAUGUGUCUGCAUCUCAAUCUCCAAAUAAAAUCAUAGUUGCUAUUAUCACAACCAAGCUCCUCAAUCUUUUUCAUCGAAAUACAAAUCUAAAUUAUAAAGUUCUGUCCGGCUGGACAUAUAUUUCACUGCUACAGCAAGAAGCUCUGGGUUCAAUCUUCAACUAUGAAAAAACCCCACAAAUUUUAAAAAUAAAAAAUAAAACAAGCAUGUUUCCUCAGGCCCCAGUACAUUUGUAAGGCUGAGGACUUCAGUUUCAAGGCCAGUUCAAGCUGCACAUGAGGUUUCAGACACUCCUGAGAUACAGAGUUAGAGCUUACUUCCCUAAGCCAAAACAACACAUAAAUAAACACAGCCUGGCCUGAAGUAUGUCUGAAGUUCCAGCACUUCAGAGGCUGAGAGGAGCCUCGGGAUUUUGAGGCCGUUUGGAUCCUAUAUAUACAAAUUUCGGCAAUCUGUCCUUUCAACACCAGGUAAAAGAAAAUGAAGACUCGUCUUCAGUUUGUUUUUAAUGAAUUUCUGUCGGGUAGCAGCAGCACAGAAAAGGUUCUAGUCUGUUUCUGCCACAAACUGACCUCCAGUUUACUCACACUUCACAUCCCCAGGCCCAAGGAAGACUUUCUGGGUCUCCAAUUCCCUGGCCUUCCUGCUUUCUGCUAGAUGCUAGGCUUUUCAAACUCCUGCCCUUAGUGAAGUUCUCCGUUUUUCACCGCAGAGGUCUAAGUGGGUAAAGUCGUUUGUGAACCCAGCAGCAGUGCUAUCCGGAGUCCAGGGAGGGUCACCUCCUCUCCUUACUCUGGAAGUAACACCUCCGCCCCGCCACCUUCACCCCACCCGGACCCCCACCUGAACCAUUAUUAACCAUCUUUUAACAGGUCACUGACUACCUCCACAGAGACUUCCCCCUACCAUGCUUCCUCAAGAAACUUCCCUUCCUCAAGAACUCAGCUUCGUGGCCACCACAAAGCAUACUGGGUAACAGGGUUUGGGCAGCUGUAAAACAAUCUCAGCCAAGCCCCUUGCUGACUGGCCGUGUUUGCACAUGCUUACAAAAGUGAGAGAGGCUCUAUCAGUCAUCUGUCAUCCAAGCAGCAAAAAAGAGGUAGUAUUUUAGCUGCCACUACUACCCAGAAGCUUUCCAUUUUCCAAGUUUGCAAUAGUAACUUGAAAGUUAAAAUAAAAUGAACCCCAAAGAAGACUCUCCUACUUUGUUUCAGUUGAAGGGGCUAGUUAUGUGUAUUUCGGAUUUGUUUUAUUUAUUUAACUAACGUGCUUUUGCAUGUUUGUAUUUGUUCAACAUGCAUGUCUGGUGCUCAUAGAAACUAGAAUAGGAUGCCAAUUCCCCUGGAUCUAGAAUUACAAAUGGUUGUGAGCCAUUAUAUGGGUCCUAGGAACUAAACCUUGGUUUUCGAGCAACAAGUGGUCUUAAUUUGAAAGCUAUCUUUCCAUCCCUGUCCUGUGUGUGUUUUAAGGUAUGCUGGAUCAUUUCUCUCCAUAGUUGUUUAUUUUUAAUAUACAGUGGAGAUUAUAGAAAUAUGACACUUUCCUAAUAUUGUCUAUUUCC